CCAAUAUCAACUUGACUAUUUGCAAUAAGUGCCCUAUUUGCAUGGGAACCAUGUUGCACAAUAUCUGAUCAAUAUAGUUACCAAUAAAAAAUGAGACACGUACUUGCUUGGUGACACUGAUCUCCUUACUGUCAUCCAACUAGUAUAGCUUAUAGGGACAAGGAUGUUGUUCACAUGUUAACCCUGUUCGAUCCACUAGUAAGCCGUUUGGCAAUGAUAGUAUAACUGCCUCCAUCAAUUACCACACUACAGACCUUUCCAUUGACCAGGCAUCUGGAG
rnacentral:lncRNA from 1 species